rnacentral:rRNA from 1 species
GCCAGCCCGCUCAGAACUUAAAGGAAUUGACGGGGCCCGGCACAAGCGGUGGAGUAUGUGGUUUAAUUCGAUGCAACGCGAAGAACCUUACCUGGUCUUGACAUCCCGGAGACCCUUAGGAAACUAGGGGUGCUUCCAUCUGGAAGAAUCUGGAGACAGGUGCUGCAUGGCUGUCGUCAGCUCGUGUCGUGAGAUGUUGGGUUAAGUCCCGCAACGAGCGCAACCCUUGCCUUUAGUUGCCAGCAGUUCGGCUGGGCACUCUAAAGGGACUGCCGGUGUUAAACCGGAGGAAGGUGGGGAUGACGUCAAGUCCUCAUGGCCUUUAUGACCAGGGCUACACACGUACUACAAUGGCCGAUACAAAGGGCAGCGACACUGCGAGGUGAAGCCAAUCCCGUAAAAUCGGUCUCAGUCCGGAUUGGAGUCUGCAACUCGACUCCAUGAAGUUGGAAUCGCUAGUAAUCGUGGAUCAGCAUGCCACGGUGAAUACGUUCCCGGGCCUU